rnacentral:rRNA from 1 species
GGUGUGGUUGUUGCUGGCCYUCUCGGGGGCAUGUGCACACCCACCAUCCUCAUCUCUCCACCUGUGCACCUCUUGUAGACCUGGAUUGACUUUCCGAGGCAACUCGGUCGGGAAGAUUGCUGCGCUCUGUGAGCCAGCUUUCUUUGCAUGUCCAGGCCUAUGUUUUUCAUAUACCCCUAUAGAAUGUAACAGAAUGUAUCAUUGGGCCUUGUGCCUAUAAACCUUAUACAACUUUCAGCAACGGAUCUCUUGGCUCUCGCAUCGAUGAAGAACGCAGCGAAAUGCGAUAAGUAAUGUGAAUUGCAGAAUUCAGUGAAUCAUCGAAUCUUUGAACGCACCUUGCGCUCCUUGGUAUUCCGAGGAGCAUGCCUGUUUGAGUGUCAUUAAAUUCUCAACCUUAUUAACUUUUGUUGAUAAUGGAUUGGAUUGUGGGGGUUUCUUUUGCUGGCUUCUUCACAGAGAUCAGCUCCCCUUAAAUGCAUUAGCUGGUGCCCCGCGUGGACCAUCUAUUGGUGUGAUAAUUAUCUACGCCGUGGAUGUCUGCAAUYAUAUGGGUUUCGCACUGCUUCUAACCGUCUGUUCAUUCGGACAAUACAUGACAAUUUGACCUCAAAUCAGGUAGGACUACCCGCUGAACUUAAGCAUAUCAAUAAGCGGAGGAAAAGAAACUAACAAGGAUUCCCCUAGUAACUGCGAGUGAAGCGGGAAAAGCUCAAAUUUAAAAUCUGGCGGUCUCCGGCCGUCCGAGUUGUAAUCUAGAGAAGUGUUAUCCGCGCUGGAC